GGAAAAGUUGUGAGGUACUCUGGAGUUUUCUGGAAUAUCUCAGGGCUUUGCAGCACUCUGAGCACUGAAUGAAGUUGAUUGACACCCCCCCCCUUUCUUAAUGAUCACAUAGGAGCCCCAUUCUGACAUCAGAAGAUGUGGUAGAUGAUGAUCUGAUAGAUGUAGCCAGGGAAUGACCAUAGUGACUUGGAGGACAAGGUGGAAGCUCAACAGGAUGAAAGCAGCUUCAGUCUGUUCGGAUACCAGCAGGUUCUUUUCGAAAAUUCUCCUUUCUUCUUGUGUCAAAUCCCCUCCUGAUGGAAAAUGGGUGACAUGGGGAAACAAAGGAAAUCUCUGAGGACAACCAACAGAGAGGAAGCAGAAGAAAGUUCUGGAUGAUAUUUGACAGCUUAAAAGGAAAAGACAUCAAUAUUGAGAAUGGAAAACAACCAAGGCAUAAAUCAGAUUUGUAAAACUGUAAAUCUUUCUGUUUUGCAUCAAUCUGUAUCCAUAAACUGCUGGUGAAAAUUAA